rnacentral:lncRNA from 1 species
CUUAUUUCUCAUAAUAUUUCAUUCAAAAGCUUUAUUUUCCAUAUAAAAUGUACGAACACCUUACAGAGCACUCUUUGGGAAAGGAUGCCCGACUUUUAAAAGGAAGACCCAAACAAACUGGUCAACAGAAACGGAGUGCUGCUGUGGUGCCAUGCCCGAGACAGCUGCCAAUAGUCCUCUGCCACUCACCAUCCUUGCAUCAGCAUCUGGGACAUGGAGCAUAAAUUACCAGCAGACAACAUCUGGAUUCCAUACUAAGAACAAGCAUCUCACUACAAAG